rnacentral:lncRNA from 1 species
AAAGAUGCAUGAUGGAGGCCAGGAAUGCUGGCGUCCUCUGGAAGGCAAGAAAACGGGAAAGGGUCUUAGGAGAGUUGGACACAUUCAAAACACAAUAUGUGAUUAAGAAGAUUAAAGAUUAAUACUUAUUGAUGGAUUACUAUGUGCCAAACUUCCAACCGAAUCCUGACAACAAUUCCUUAAGAUGUGGAAACUGCAGUUCACUGAGGUUGACAUUUCCGGGUUCAUACAACAAGGAUGGGCAUGAUUGUGAGGCCUCCCCACCCACAUGGAAUGAGUUCCCCAGCUAUCCCCCAGUGGCUUGGAGAUUCCCAUUUCAAGAGUGUAGAGUUCUACCCAGAAGGUGGCUGCGUGGACAGUGACUACAUUCUCAGCUCCAUGCCUAUUUGGAUGGUCUGAGGCCUUCACUCCUCACCCUUCCUGGAUGUGGUUGCGCCAGAGGGGAUGAUUUAGUGAGCAGAUGGUACCAGGAAAACCAAGGGUAUUGCAUCCAGCUGUGUGUACACAGAUUGGUGAAUUCAAGCCUCUGAUCUAGGAUCUGAAAUAAAAAUCAGAAUAAGCGAAAAGAUGGUUGCUUUUUUUCAUGCCUUAUUUGUUCAUUUGCUCAAGAAGCGUUUGCUAUUUGCCUAUGGUGUUAGUAUUGUUUAAGACAAUAGAGAAACACAGAUUAAAAAGACACCAUCUCUGUUUUUCAGAUGCAAGUUAUGUACUUAAGGACCCCAAAACUAUAAAACCAAACCAUGAAGAAUGAGAGAUUUAGCACUAAUAAAAUGGAAAACAUUCACACGUUGGAACACAUGAUACAUUUGAGUCAGGAAAAGUGCGCUCUUGUUUUAUUUAUUUGCUUAUUUGUAGGAGGAUUUCCCUGGGAUGAAUUAUGAGAAAUAUGACAUUGGCCUAAAACACCUGGCAAAAGAUCCUUGGGCUGCAGGUAUUUUGAGUCAGACUCUAAGUAUAACCCAAGGUUCAGAUUUGUUCCUCUCAGUUUAAGAGGUGAAUGAGGAAUAUAGAAGAACGCAGUGAAGAUUCACAAAGGUGACAAAGGCCUGGAAAAGAAGGCUCUGACAGAGCCGAUGGAAGCAAUAAGAGGUCCCAUUAUAGCUGAAUUUAUAAUCAGCUCUACCAUGGAUCAAACCCCAAAUAGUCCCAAAGGGACUGUGCAGACUAAACUUCCACAUAGAACUUCCACUCUUUGGUGGCUAUUUUGAUGUCAGAAUGGGCCUAUCCAAAGCUGCCACAUGAGUCACCUUGAACUCUGCCUGCUUUGCAUUAUUGCCUCUGGAUUCUCUUCCCUGGAGUUUCUUCAGGCAGCUGGACUGCAUUGUGCCAUGACAUGCUCCUCAUUUUCCCCAUAAACAUCUCUGAUUGAAGGCAGAUGACACACGACCUUUAGCUCACCCUUAGGAAUCUUUGCUAAGCCUGGUUUAGUACAGCUAGGUUGUAGCAUGGAUGUUAUUCCUAUCUUCCAACCUUAUGGGUCAUGGGUUAUAUAGAACUCCAUCUGUUGUGCAUUGCCAGGAAGACCAGAACCAGACUGAAAUGGUGUUUAAGUUAAACAUCCAGAUAAUUAGACCCUGAACCCAACUAUUGAGAAAAACCACACCUUUAGAAGUCUUUACGAACACUAUAGACACUCACCUGUCUUAGAUACUCAAAUACAAUUCCCCAUAAAAAAGGAUUUCUUGAUAUUCCCUCCAACACUGUAACUGAAUAGCCCAAAAACACAGGUGCUGGCUUUUCUCCUAGUUUUACUUUCUACUUCGUCCAUAUGUUUGGAGAGUGUAGGAAUAGAUGGGAUGUAAUUAAUCUGCAAAUAAACCAUAGGUAUCAUAUAGCUCUUUCAUGGGUCUGGAAAAUGUCCCAGUAAUUUUUAAAUCUGGUUAUCUCUUGCUCCAUUUAAAUUCAUUUAAUCAGCUUGAUUCUUGUGGCAUCCUCUUCUGUGUCUUCCAUCAUCUUCAUCACCAUUCCCAUAAUCAUCACUGAACUAUAUUGAGUUCUCACUCUAUGAUAGAUUCCAUGCCAAAGGCUUUACAUAUAUCAUCUCUUAUAAACCUCUCAAUAACUCUAUUAAGUACAUGCUACUAUUGUCCCCGUUUCGCAUGUGAGGAAAUAGACUGGAAGAGAUUAUGUGACUUAUGCACUGGUAAUGAUUACAUCUAUUUUGGGGACUACCCUAAGGCAUCCAAUAAGUAACUAUUCUUUUGACCUGGGGCCUCAUAUUUAUGGAGUGAUUUCUGCAUUUCUUAAAUUAAUUUCAAGUGAAUGAAAUAUGCUGAGCUCUUUACUCUCAAAGUCUCUAUGCUACUCAUUCCUCUCUGCUGUUGGUCUACUAGUUUAAAUAUUUCAGUAUCUUAAUAUAGAUAUAAUUUAUGUUAUUGCCACCUACUCUUCUCCUCUCUUGUCCUUGCUCUCAUCUCUCAGUCUCAUCUUUAUUCUCACCACCCUCAUGUAUGAGACUUCUAGGCACCUCUCCUUCCACCUUUCUGCUCCCUGCUACUUACACAAGGUACAAAGCACAUGACAAGGGUACAGAGGAGCCCUGUCUCAUACAGGCCUGUAUUACAGGGGCUUUAUUUGCAAGAAGUCUCUUUAUGACAAAGAAAGAAACUUUCCUGCUCUCAAAAACUACUGGGCAAGUUUCCAAACUCCCAAUGAAGUAAUUUAUUCCACACACACAAAAAAGAAAAGAAACACAACUAACUGUCUCGAGCAUUUUAUGCACCUGACACCAUCACAUUAGUGGCAUCAGAUUACAUAUUCAGUAAGGACUUCUACCACAUGCUGUUGUAAUUAACCACAUGGAAAUGUGUAGGCCAGGACCCCUCAGUUACAUAGUACAACACACAGAGCAGUAAGAACUAAAAAAUGCCCUUGGAACAGAAUGUUAUAUCUCAUUAGGAAAUGAAAUUGUGACUUUCCUGGGAGUGACAGCUCUGGCAGGAAGGAAUGGAGGUCUGGAUUUCUAAUUAUCACCAGUAUCACUACUCUUUAAUCCUCCAGAUCUCUGUCAGGUCUUUGAUAAAGAAUCUCUAAGAAAACGUUGAGAUGGUUUCACUGAGGCAUGGCCUAGGGCAGUACCUAUAGAUUUUUAAUGCCUGAUCAACCAUGAGCACCCACUUGGGAACCCAGUAUAGGGAAUUCACUAGCUCUUAACCCAUACAUUGCAUUGAGACCAAGGGAGGUCCGUCCAGUUAUGCCUGUGGUACUUGACCCAAGGCAGCUAAAAUAACACCUAGGAAUUCUGCUGAAACGAUUCUCCCUGCUUUCAACUUUUCUGAGGACCCUGGCACCCUCAAGCUCUCUGCAUGCUGCCAAGGGCUCCCAGCCCUGUCUUCCUUCCCUGCUCAGAGUUAGAUAUCUGGACCUACUUCCCUCUCUCUGCUCCUACCACCUCCACCUGUUGAGAGCCUCAUUCCUAACAGGUGCUUCUGAUUUAGUUUUGGAAUUGUUACUAUCUGACUAGGAAAGUAGGAGGUUAAGAGGCAUUAUUUUCUAACAGAUCUUUGCUGUCUUCAAUUACAAUGGGAUAUAUUAACCAAUAACUCUGCUGAUUGAUAUAAGAAAGUGAAGGAACAAAACAACAAUUGAGGAGCCUUAUCAUGGAAUCUUGUGUUCUGACUCCCAAUCAGCUGAAGGCUGCAGAGCCCUCAAAAUAUGUAUAAUUUUAGUACUGAGCAAAUACCUGUUCUGUGGAAGCAUGUAUACAAUCAAUGCCAAUUGUUAAAUUAUAAGUUGAGGAAUAGGCAUUGGUCACGAAGGUGGUAUAGAGAUGAAUGGGCCACUGUCUACAAGUAACACACCCAGAAGCAGAACCAACACCCCUUGGGAAGAUUAGCAUGGAACAUACUCUUUUUCCCAUUUGUCAGUAAAUAUUUAAGUAUCUGAAUAUAGAUAGAAUUUAUGUUAUUGCCACCUACUAUUAUAUACUGUGGCAGAGACAGUGCUAUGUGCUCGUGAAUCCUUAUUUCUUUUUCUUCUAGGCAAAACUAGACCACAUUUUGCAGCUUCCCCUGAAGUUAGUGGAAGCCAUAUCAAUGAGUUCUGGCCAACAGAAUGUAGGCAGAGGUGAUGCUAAGGCACUUCUUGACCUAGUCCCUAAACCAACCUCCUGUGUGGUCCUCCAUGAGCUCUCUUUCUCCAUUUACCAGCCUAAUGCAGCAAAGGACAAACACUAAACAACAGCAGAGUCAUGCUAUAAAUGGCACCCGAGGCCCUGAAUAACUGUGUGGAGAAGAACACACACAACUGCCAUUCCUUCCCCUCCUUACCCUUAUUGGACUGUACUGUGAGCAAGAAAGCAACUCUCCUUGUCUCAAACAUACCCCAAAUAUCAGUGGCUUGUUACAACCAUUUUCCUGAUUAACAAAAUGGACUUCCCUUGUGUUCAGGAAGAUUCACUGGGUACCAGUGGAAUAAUUAGUGCAGUGAGUGCCAGGACACAAAUUAAAAAAUAAAUUACCAUAGCAUAUGGCUUCUAGGUAGAUGCCAAUUAUAUCUUCCUUCUGAAGUAGGAAAAUUUGAGCUUAUUGUUGUGGAGAAAUAUUUGUUUUUCUUCCCAUCUUCCUGUGUUCCUUCCUGAAUAAUAACGCUGACCCUCCUUGCGAGGCAGGGCUCUUUCUACCCACAUUUGUGGCCUGAUGAGACCCCGUGGCUGUGUGCAGGGCAUUCUACAACCACUCAGUGGUUUUCGGCUGAAUGAAUUCAAACAAAAAGAAUGUGGUGAUGCAGGCAGUAAUCUCAGCCCCUUGGGUUCCUUGGCCUUUCACAGAGAGCUUAUGUCCACAGCCAAAGCACUUAGGAUUCAAAACCCCUAUGAGUGUAUAGUGUACGGGAGGGAGGAAAUGACUUAGAUGAGGGUUUUAAGUUCAGCCUGUGCUCAACAGUUAAAUUCAAUUUAAAGACUUCCCAAAACCUUUCUGAAAUUACAAAAGGGCCAUGAGAAAUCAGUUUCUUUCUUUUGUGGUUGCAGAUUUAAUUCUGCAGUUCAUGAAGUUAUGUCAAAGUGGUUGCAUAACACUGCAAGCUGUCACUGAUGGAAAUGAGGAUGAUUUCUUCUUUUUGUUAAAUAACUAGAGUUAUCCCACAAACAUUCAGUCCCCACUAUUGUGUUAGACGUAUGACCAUGAUUCCUGCCCCCAGAGAAUUCUAAACGUGGUGAAACAUCCGUUGAAAAUGCCUUAGAAAGGAAAAUGCCAAUGGUAGAACUGGUGCCUCAGAGGUUAAACUUGAAAAGCCCAUCCCUGGAAGGAAAGGCUUGAAAGUCUGAAGAAAAUACUUGGGUAAAGUUACAGAACUGAGAGGGCUGCUGGUGACUGGAGACACCUUCUCCGAUCACAUUCCCUGCCUCUGCAUGGUCAGCACCACAGAAAAUCUGCCUGCUCCUAAAUUGUUCCUCACAACCCAAGUGAAGGUUUAGGAUUACAACCUGGGAGACAGCCAGCUCUAGCAUCCUGAACCCCUUUAUCCCUACUUGGUGUGCUGUACUAUUUUUUCUUUAAUACCAAAGGGUCUAACCUUAGAUGUUAGAAAUAUGGUUCCCAUCCCAUAAGUCAUUAGUAAUAUGACCUUGAGCAAGUCCCUUCUCUAAUUUGUAUUCUAUGAACUGAAGGGUCUAUUACAUGAAGGCACAUAAUAAAUGUGUUAAUUUGAAAUCCCCUAACUGCUCCAUAAUUUGUAACAUCAUUUAAAAUGGAAAAGCUCUGUUAGAAUACUGCUCCCUAACCUGGGAGUACAUGAAAAUCACCGAAAAAGAGGUUUUCUUAGUUGUGAUAGGGACAGGAGGCAGGAGAAUUCUGGGAAGAAGAGGGUGGGUCCCCAGUGAGGGCCCCACUCUCAAGCCUGGAACUGCAGCUCAAAAUGAGAACAUGCAUUCCUGUUUUCCUGCUCAAAUGUUGCCUUUUCCAAAACCACCCAUGGGCCACCUGGCCCCAGAUCCUGUGCCCAUAAAAACCCCAGGCUCCACCAACAGAGAGCAGAGAAGAGAAGCAGCAGCUGGACGUCUGUGACUACAGUUGGAUGUCAGAGAGAGGCAGCUUAAUUUCAGAGGGUUGGCUUGAUGGUGUUGCUUCAGAGAGGAGUCUGGUGGGAGACAGCUGGACUCUGAGGGAUCAUUUUCCCACUCCAUCCCCUUUCAGCUCCCCUUCCUGUUGACAGCCACUUUCAUUGGCAAUAAAAUCCUCCCUAUUCACCACUCUUCAAUUCGUUUGUGCAAGCUGAUUCCUCCUGGAUGCCGAAUAAGAGCUCAGGUGCCACGGGUGUGGAUGCUAAAGGCUGUCACACAGAACCUCUGCCCAUGCUGGUGGAGAGCAACUGCCUCAUACAAAAAGGCAGAGGGCCCACUAAGCUGUUUAACAUUUAAGCCAUUUGUGGACAGCAAAGUUAAAAGAGCACAGUAACAUACACCCUCUGGGGCUUCAGGAUUGCAGGCACCCACUAGAUGCUGCCAUGGGGCCCCACAUGGAGUUUGCCCCAGCUGGCACCCAAAACUGCUCACUGCAGCUCCUGCACCCACUCACCUGGGCACUCCCUCCCACAAGGGGUGAAGCACAAUGCGUCCAAGUGAGGGGAGUUUGCCCCUGCCAAUGCCGAAGCAGCCAGCUAGAUCCAGCACCAGUCCACUCCAGUUCCCGUGAGGGGGUCAGGGAAAUUUCUUGCUUCAGUUGCCUUUUUGUUUGUUUGUUUGUUUGUUAAGAUAUAACUAACACACAAUAAAAUGCACAAAUCUUUUUUUUUUUUUUUUUUUUGCUGGAGUGCAGUGGCAUGAUCUUGGCUCACUGCAAACUCCGCCUCCCAGGUUCAAGCCAUUCUCCUGCCUCAGCCUCCUGAGUAGCUGGGACUACAGGUGCCUGCCACCAUGCCCGGCUAAUUUUUUGUACUUUUAGUAGAGACGGGGUUUCACCGUGUUAGCCAGGAUGGUCUCUAUCUCCUGACCUCAUGAUUCACCCAUCUCAGCCUCCCAUAGUGCUGGGAUUACAGGCAUGAGCCACCACACCCAGCCUAAAAUGCACAAUUCUUAAGUAGAGUCAAUGUGUUUUGACAAAUGUAUACACCUGUGGAACUAUCACCUCACUCCAAACAAAGCAUUGCUAAAGAAGUUUCCCUUGUGCAACUGCCUAGUUAAUCUCUUCUGACCCACAGUCAAACACCCUUUGACUUCUGUCACUAUUUAAGUGGAAUUAAAAGUCUGUAUUCCUUAGUAUCCGGCUUCUUUCACUCAUAGUAUCUAUGAAAUUCAGUCAUUCAUUUCUUUUUAUUGUUUAGUAGUAUUCCAUUGGAUGAAUAUCUUGCUAUAGACAGAAUGGUGUCCCCCAAAUUUCAUAUGUUGAAGUCCUGUUCCCAAUGUGAUUGAAUUUGGAGAUAGGGAUUUUAGAAGUUAAUUAAGAUUUGAUGAGGUCACAAAGGUAGGGUCCUAAUCCAAUAUAAUUUGUGGCCUUGUAAGAAGAGGAAGAGAUUCUCUCUCUCUCCUCUCCCAUCAUGUAUGCACCAAGGAAAGGCCAUGUGAGGACAUAACAAGAGAGUGGUCAUCUACAAGCCAAGAAGAAAGCCCUCCCCAGGAACUGAAUUAACCAAGACCUUGAUCUUGGACUUCACAGCCUCCAGAAUUGUGAGAAAUAAAUUUUUGUUGUUUAGACCCUCAGUCUAUGGUAUUUUAUUAUGCCCAAGCUGACUAAGACAAUACCACGAUCUGUUUAUCCAUUCAUUUGUUGAUGGACAUUUCAAUUGUUUCUAGUUUUGCCUAUGAUUAAUACAGCUAUUAAAAAUAUUUGCAUAUAGGUUAUUGUAAAAUCAUGUUUUCAUUUCUCUUAGAUAAAUACCUAAGAGUAGAAUUGUUGUGUCAUGUAGUAAGUAUAUAUGUAACCUUAUUUUAAAAGCUGCUAAUUUUUUAAAGUAGCUGUACCAUUUUACAUUCCAACCAGAAACAUUUGAGAGUCCUAGUUGCUCCACAUCCUCAUCAACAUUUAGCAUAUUACGAUAUUUUGUUUCAGCUAUUCUUAUGGGUGUGAAGCAUUAUUGCAUGAUGGUUUUAAUUUGCAUUUUUCUCUGAGGACCUAUUGGUGAUGAGCACUUUUUCAUAUGCAUAUUGGUCAUUUGUAUAACAUUUCUUGUGAAUUGUCUGUUCAAGUCUUUUGCCUAUUUCUCUAUUGGGUUCAUUGUCUUUUUAUCGUAGAAUGAUAUACAUUCUGUAUAUAUUCUGAAUACAAGUGCUUUUUUAGGUACAUGUAUUACAAAUAUUUCCUUCCAGCCAAUGGCCUGUAUAUUCAUUCCCUUGACUGUGUCUUCUGAUAAGCAGUAAUUUUGAUGAAUUUUGAUGAAAUUUUGAUAUAAGUCUAAUCUAUCAGUGUUUUCAUUCAUGGUUAUUCUUUCAGCAUACAGUCUAAGAAAUCUUUACCAACCUCAUAGUCACCAAGAUAUUCUCUUUUGUUUUUUUCUAAUAACUUCAUAGUUUAGCUUCUAUUCUUAAGUCUAUGAUUCAUCUGUAAUUUUAUGAUGAUGGGAUGCAGAAGAUCAAUUUUUUCCAUGUAAUUAUAAAAAAUUACCAUGUAAGGGUCAUUUUUUUCAUAUAAUUAUCCAGUUGUUCUAGCACCUUUUAUUGAAAACGCUUUGCUUUCCCACAUUAAAUUGCAUUACUUUGUUAAAAAUUUAUUAAAUGUGUAAGUGUAGGUUGAUUAUUGUACUCUCUAUUCUGCCCAUUUAUCUAUUUGUCUGUCCUUACACCAAUAACACACUAUCCUAAUAAUAGUAGCUUUGUAUAAAUCUUAAAAUUUGAUUCUGUAAGUCCUCCAACUUUGUUCUUUUAUAAAACUUAUUUUGGCUAUUGCAAGUCCUUUGAAUUAUUUCAUAAAUUUUAAAAUUAGCUUGUCAAUUUCUACAAAAAAGCCCACUGGGAUUUCAAAAUGACAUCCUAAUAAUGGUGCAUCUUUCAACUCAAUAUAUCUUUCUUUUUAUUUGGAGAGCCUUGUUAAGUCCUCUCAACACUGUUUAUUUUGAUUACAUAUAUGUUGUAUAAUUUUUGUUAAAUUCAAUCCUAAAUAUUUUCUGCUAUGAUGUUAUUAUAAUUGGCACAGUUUUAAAUUUUAUUUUCCAGUUGUUCAUUGCCAAUUCAUAGAAAUAAAAUUCACUUUUAUACAUUGACUGAAAUCUUGCUAAAUCAUGUAUUAGUUCUAGUAGGUUUCUUUGGUUUUUUUUGUUUUUAAUAGACUUUAUUUUUAGAGCAGUUUUAGGUUCACAGCAAAACUGAUGGAAGAUACAGAGAUGUACCAUAUACUGCCUGCCCCAAAACAUGCACAGUCUCCCCCAUUAUCAGCAUCUCCCUCCGGAGUGGUACAUUUGUUACAAUAUCAAUGAACCUACAUUCAUACAUUAUCACUCAGCACCCAUAGAUUAUAUUAGGGCUCACUCCUGGUGAUGUAUCCAUUCUUGGUAGGUUUGAAACCAAUCUAUAAUGGCAUGUAUCUACCAUUAUAGUAUCAUACAGAGUAGUUUUAUGUUCCUAAGAUUCCUCUGUGCACCACAUCAUCCUUCUCUCCAUAUGUCCUACCACCUAGCAAUCACUGUUAUUUUUACAGUCUCUAUAGUUUUGCCAUUUCCAGAAUGCCAUAUAGUUAGAUUCACACAGCAUGUAGCCUUUUCAAAUUGGCUUUUUUCAUUUGGUAAUAUGCAUCUAAGUUUCUUUCACAUCUUUUCAUGGUUUUAUUGCUUAUUUCUUUUUAGCACUGAAUAAUAUUCCAUUGUCUGUAUGUAACACAGAAUUUAUCCAUUCAUCUACUUAAGGAUUCAACUCAAAAUGAAUUAAAGACUUAAAUCUAGACCUGAAAGCAUAAAAUUCUUAGAAAAAAAAUAGGAAAAAGUCUUCUUAACCUUGGCCUUGGCAAUAAUUUUUCUAUUAUUGCUUAUGAUAAUAGAUAAGCACAGGCAUCAAAAGCACAGGCAUCAAAACCAAGUUAAACAAGUGGGACUACAUCAAGCUAAACAGCUUCUGCACAACAAAGGAAACAAUCAACAAAUGAAAAGGCAACCUAUGGAACGCUAGAAAAUAUUUGUAAACCAUAUAUCUAGUAAAGGUUAAUAUCCAAAAUAUAUAAGGAAUUCACACAACUCAAUAGCAAAAGUACAAAUAACCCAAUUUAAAAAUGGGCAAAGGACCCGAAUAGGCAUUUUUCCAAAUAAGACAUCCAAAUGACCAACAGGUAUAUGAAAAGGUGUUCAAUAUCACUAAUCAUCAGAGAAAUGCAAAUCAAAAGCACAGGGAGCUAUCACCUCAUGCCUGUUAAAAUGGCUAUUAUAAAAAAGACAGGAGAUAACAAGUGUUAGAGAUGAUGUGACACAAAGGUAAUCCUUGUAUAAUAUUGGUUGGAAUGUAAAUUGGUACAGCUAUUAUGUAAGACAGUAUGGUCGUUCCUCAAAAAAUCCAAAAUAAAACUGCCAUAUGAUAUAGCAAUCCCACUUUGGGGUAUAUAUCCAAAGGAAAUUACAAGAGUAUCUAAAAGAGAUAACUGCAUCCCACAUUCAUUGCAGCACUGUUCACAAUACCCAAGGUAUGGAGACAACCUAAGUGUUCAUCAAUAGAUAAAUGGACAAAAAAAUUAUGGUAUAUGUAUGGUAUAUAUACACAUACACAUAAUGAAAUACCAUUCAGCCAUAAAAAAGAAAAUCUUGCCAUUUGUAACAACAUGAAUGAACCUGGAGGACAUUAUGCUAAGUGAAAUAAGCCAGACAUAGAAAGACAAAUACUGCAUGAUCUCACUUAUAUGUGGAAUCUAAAAAAGUCAAACUCUGAGAAGCAGAGAGUAGAAUGGUGAUUACCAUGCGCUGGGGUGUGGGGAAAAUGUUGGUCAAAGGGUACAAAGUUUCAGUUACUCAGGAUGAAUAUUUUCUGGAGAUUAAAUUUAUAGGAUAAUGACUAUGGUUAAGAAUACUGUAUUGUAUACUAGACAUUUUCUGGAAGAACAGAUCUUGAUUGUUCUUACCAAAAAAAAAAAAAAAAGGUAACUUUGUAAGGUGAUUGAUAUAUUAAUUAGUUUGGUUGUGGUCAUCAUUUCACAAUAUAUAUGUAUAACAAAACACCAUGUUGUAUACCUUAAAUAUAUACAAUUUUUAUCUGUCAAUUAUACCUUAAUGAAGCAAUGGUAGGGGAAAUACACUUGGUUCUUUUGUAGCAGUUUUCAUUUCUUUCCUAAAAUACCCCACCUGUCAAUUUUGAUAUCUACAUUUUAUAAAUUCUUUUAUACAUUUAUAAUAUUUGUUUAAGGUCCUUGUUGAUUAAUUCUUAAAAACCAGUCAUCUGUCUGGUUUCAUUUAUUAUGCUCUCUCUUGAUUAUAGGCCACACUUUCCUGCUUCUUCACAUCUUAUAAUUACUAUUAUAUUCUGAACAUUGUGUAAAAUAAAACUUUGGAGACCAAGUAUAUUGUUUUAUUUUGUUUAUUUUCCUUUCCUCUGUAUGGUGGUCAUAGUAAGAUAUUAAUGAUUCAAAUAUCUUCUAAAGUUAACUUUAGAUGGGAUUGGGUCAUAGCUUUAAUCAGAUUGAUUUCAUCUUUGAUUAGCAUAACCCCU